rnacentral:lncRNA from 10 species
CUGCCUUUGUGGUUCAGUCCAAACCCCACUGUCCCCAACAUUCCCCGGUUCCCCCACUCUGUGACAUCACAGACAGCCUCCUGUCCACUCUGCCAGCUGCAGGUGCUGUGGGGUCCCUAGAGACCUGAAACUCACAGCCCAGUGGGGACAGCCCAAGGGCCCUUUUCUUUGGCUCCUGCUUCCCUCUAGAGGCGGACACUGGUAAUGCAAGAAACACCACACCCACCCCUACUCUGUCCCAGCCAGCAUCUCAGUGAUAUUAAACGCCUACUGUGUACCGCAUACCCUGCAAAGCACUUGACAUCUUUAUGUCACCAAAUCCUUACAACGGCAUUCUGCGGGUAGGUUUCACCAUACCACUGCACAGACUGGAAAACUGAGGUUCAAGGAAGCUAAACGGCCCGAAAUUACACAGCAAGGUGCAACAGGAAUUAAGAACUGAAGUCCAUCUAAGUAAAAAAGGAGUGUGCUCUUAACUGUUAUGCUGUUCUGCCAGGCUUCAGAUGGAGCCUUUCCAUUUAAAAACCACUUACCAUCAACUCUUGGAGAUCAAGGUGGUUCUGAACAUCUCAUUCUGGAAUUGUAUAGACGGAAUAAAAUCUGGCUUCAGAUAAAACUACAUUAAAAUCCCAGCUGUUCCUCUUGGCUGCCACAGCUGAGCAAGUCACCUUUCUUAGGCUCAAUUCCCUCCAUCUGGAAAAUCAGACAAAGUCCUGCCUUGCAAGGUGGAGAGGAAAAUGAAAUGAGCUCAGCAAUGUCAAAGGACCUGCCCAAAUGCUCAAUGAAUGUCAGUGUUCUGUUUCUAUUCCCAUAACUUUCUGACAUUAAAGAAAAAAAAAAGCCUGUUCAUGGAAGGGAGAACAGGGUGAAGGAUUGAGCGUACCAUUGUCCAACAGUCAGACAAUGUUCCUGUAUUUAUUCAAUCAGUAUGGAGAGCAUACGCGUUCUGCACACAGCCCGGUGCUGCAUCCUGGGACCCGAAGGUGGGCUGGACCCACCCCUGCCUCCUCGAGAGUGAGGCUCUGUUGCUCUUGUCCACGGCAGUAUCCCCAGCACCACAGUCAGUGCUUGGCACCAGUAGGUCCUCAAAAAGUAUAUGCUGAACAAAUUUUUUUAAUCACUGAUUUUUUGUAGGCAAAUAAACAGGCAGUGAAAAUACAGUCCAUUCAACAAAUAUUACUGAGCAUCCACUGUGGUUUAGGCAGACACUGGAAUGACAGUCAGGUCCAGGACACAGGGAAGCCCAGGGGACAAGGGAACCAUAAAGGAAAUGCCUCAAUUCAUCCCAGGUUUAAGAGAUGGCUUCCUGGCUGGGUAUGGUGGCUCACACCUGUAACCCCAGCAACUUGGGAGACAGAGGCGGGCAGAUCACUUGAGAUCGGGAAUUCAAGACCAGCCUGACCAACAUGGCACAACUCUGUCUCUACUAAAAAUACAAAAAUUAGCUGGGUGUGAUGGUGUGCACCUAUAAUCCCAGCUACUCAGGAGGCUGAGGCAAAAGAAUCGCUUAAGCCCAAAGGGUGGAGGAUGGUUGAAGUGAGCCAAGAUCGCACCACUGCACUCCAGCCUGGGUGAUACAGUGAGACUCUGUCUCAAAAAAAAAAAAAAAAAAAGGAAUGGCUUCUUGAAGGAAGUGACACCUGAGCUGUCUUCAAGUGUGAUGAGGAGAGGACAUGGAGGGGCAGGUUUCAGCUUGUGCAGAGGCACAGGGAUGGAACAGUAAGAAAAAGUCUGGAGCACAGCCAGCAGCUCCUAUGGCCGAAGAGUAGUGACUGAGUUGGAAUGAACGGAGCUGGCAAAGUCGACAGGGGCAGAUCCUCAGACAAGUUCGAGCAGCAGAACAGGGGAGCCACUGAGGGGUUAAGGCAGAGGAGGAGUGACCUAACAGGAUUUGCACCAGGGGCAGAUCUUCUGGUUGCAGAUGAGCCACCAGAGAGGCUAGUGGGAAAGCAGUGGUCAGGAUCCAAAGGCAGGAGGCGCUAGUGGUGAGGGCAAUGGCAACGGAGGGUGGCUGACAAUGGAGAUAUUUAUGGGAUAGAUUCAAAAGGCCUUGAUGAAUGUGAGCGGAGGGGAGGUAAGGGGUGCCCCAUUUCUAGCUGCAGACACAAAAUGAAUAGUGGUACCUGUCCCCAAAAUAGGAAACAUGAGAGGAGGAAAAGCAAGUUUGGGAUGGAGAGGGUGGAGAAGAGAGGUGGUCCCAUCAGAAGGCAGCCAAAAGCAACCCUAUAAGUCAUCCAUAAAGCCAUCCAUCAGCUUGGCAGGUGGAUGAGGCAGGUGGUGUCUUACUUGUUGUGACAUUCCUUGCUGCUCCCCGGUGACAGCACCUGCUUGGACCCUAGACCAAAGUGAGAUACAUACAGGUUCAUCCAACCAUGCCAUAAAUGCUGUUAACCACCUGUCCUACACCCUGCACUGGGGACCCAGCAGUGAACACAGGAGACUCCCUGCCUUCCUGGGUUUACUAAUGGGAAAGUGAGUACGUGCUCAUAAAUAAAUUCUAGGCUACUUCUGAACAUGACAAGGGCUGCAGAGAAGCAUGAGGUGGGGAAGGGAAAUAGAGAGUGCUGGGAGCAGGGAGGAGGCUUAAACAGAGGGAAUAAACAGAGAGAAUUAAAUAGAGUAAAUAGGCCAGAGAAGGCCUCACUAGAAAAAGUGUUCAUGGCCAGGCAUGGUGGCUCACGCCUGUAAUCCUUGCAACUUGGGAGGCCGAGGCAGGCAGAUUUCCUGAGGUCAGGAGUUUGAGACCAGCCUGGCCAACAUGGUGAAACCCCGUCUCUACUAAAAACACAAAAAUUAGCCGGGCAUGGUGGUGCGCACCUGUAAUCCCAGCUACUCAGGAGGCUAAGGAAUAAGAAUCGCCUGAACCCCAAAGGCAGAGGUUAGUGAGCUGAGAUCGCCCCACUGCCCUCCAGCCUGGGCAAUAGAGUGAUACUCCAUUCAAAAAAAAAAAAAAAAAGAUGAAGUGUUCUUUAAGCAAAGGCUUGAAACAAGUGAGAGAAUGAGUCUUGUGGAUUUCUAGGGGAAGAGCGUUCCAGCAGAAAUGCAAACAGUGGUGUGUUUGGUGUGGCGGGAAAGGGGUGAAGGGUAAAGUAGCAGGAGACAGUGAGGGACAAGUGGAUAAAUGGUUAGAUUAUGAGUUUUUUCAAGACAGGCCCAGGGAAAGACUUUUCUUUUAUUCAACAUGAUACUGGAAGCCACUGGGAGGUCUGGGCAGAGGUGUGACAUGAUCUAAUGUCUGUAGGAGGAGGAUUCAUCUGUGUUGGUGCUUAAUGCUGAUGCUUAGGAGCCGUUGCAAUAAUCCAAGUAGGAGAUGCUGGUGACUGAGGCUGGAGAGGAGCACUGGACGGGUGGGAACUCACUACCCAAGGAUGAGGCCAUGGAGUGAACCCAGUGUGCUGUGAUCGACACACGACCACCGAUGAUGGAAAUUUCCAGAGUGGGGCUUUGGCCACAGAGAAAGGGGAGCAACAGCAGAUGGCCAGAGCCUGGAAAAGAGAAAGGAGGUUGGGAAUAACAUAGACUUACAACCUUCGGUCAUCAGAGCUGGGAGAAUCCUUGGAAAGAUAGAUGACGCAGCCCACUGACUUCCUGUUGCAGAUGCGGGGGGCCUCAGUAUGGGCUAGCCCAAAGCCACACAGCAAGUUAGUGGCAGUGCCAGGACUGGGACCAGCAAAGCUGGGCUUCAUCAUCAUGCUCCUGUGGGACCUGGGCCCAGCUGGAAUAAUGGAGCCAACAAACCAUAUGGGAAGACAAUGAGCACAGAAAGUACUUUGGGGUACCUCCCAUCAGAGCGGCCAGUUUACAGACAAUUAAACACUCAUUACUCCAAGGUGGUAUUACUGUUCCCAUUUUCCAGAUAAGAAAGGGAGGCCAGUGGCUGGGCAAAGUGACUCAUGCCUGUAAUUCCAGCACUUUGGGAGGCUGAGGCAGAAGGAUCUCUUGAGGCGAAGAGUUUAAGACCAGCCUGGGCAGAAUAGCAAGAUCCGGUCUCUACAAAAAGUUUAAAAAAAAAAAAAUUAGCCAGAUACGGUGUCACACACCUGUAGUCCCAGCUACUCAGGAAGCUGAGGCAAGAGGAUCACUUGAGCCUAGGAGUUCGAGGCUGCAGUGAGCUAUGAUUUUGCCACUUCACUCCUGCCUGGGCUACAAAGCAAGACCCUGUCUCAAAAAAUAAAUAAAUAAAAUAAAAUAAAGUGAGGCACAAAGAGAUUACAGAACCAACCCAAGAGCACACAUACACCUAGAGAGAAGGCAAAUCUGACCCUUAAACACAAGCUUGUCUGUGUGGGCUGCCGCAUCUCCUGGGGUUCUGCUGCCAUAGGACCUGGCAAAGCAGAGAUUCACGUUUUCCAGCUACAGUCUUAAGUUCAUCUAGAAAACAACCCUGCCCAGAGAACUGUGCUGGACCUCCAACAUCUGUGGUUCAAGAAGGCAACGCUACAGGGAAAGACUGGCAGAGUGGAGGCUCCAUGUCCUUUCCACAGGUAGGAGAAAUGUGCACAGUUGAGGAAAGACUGACCCUCAGAGUGGUGGGCCCAGGCAGGUGGGCCUGGAACUGCUGGCCACAGGGAGCUACAGCAGGUCAGAGAGAGGGGAAGGGCCCACUAUGACCCAGCGCUUAAAUAACAAUGGGUUUCUGGGAUUGGAGCUGCAGAGCCAGGAGCCCCAGUGCCCUUUCCUCCUCCCACCGCGCACCAAAACAUGGGGUCCAAGAUCUUCUGUUGUUGCCGCAAGACCAGCGAGGGGUCUUCCACCACUGUUGGCUUCCACAAUCCAAGAAUGUUCGAACAGCAUCAUCCACGGUCCUUCAGUAGGUUCCAGACGUGGGUGUGUGAUAGUGUCAGGAACACCUGAAUGAUUCUCUGCGCCUCGGCCUCCCCGGCCACCUCCUGCUGGGACAUAGUCAGACUUCUUUCAGCCUUCUGGGAGUGUGGAAAGGGCGUAGUUACUCAAGCCUGGAACAACACAGUCUAAAGACUCUAUCAGUUAUUAGAGAUUAGUUAUUAGGUGGUAGAUAUUCGUUGAAAUCACUGGCUUUAGUCCUCCAUGGCCAUUUGUUGAUUUAUUUAAUUUCUCACUGAGUUUGUGGUACUUUAUUAGAUGGUAGUUUAAACUCUGCCUCUGCUGCUUACUGAGUUUGGGCAUGUCGCCGACCCUCCCUCUCUAAGCCUCAGCAUCCUUCUCUCCAAAAUGAGGAUAACGAUAAUAUAUUGCCCACUGUGCAGGCUGUUAGGAGGAUGAAGGCAGGCACCGUGUGUAAGUGAAUGCAUAUGGCCCCACACAAAGAAGACAUUCAACAAGGCCGGGCACGGUGGCUCACGCCUGUAAUCCCAGCACUUUGGGAGACUGAGGCGGGCAGAUCACGAGGUCAGGAGAUCGAGACCAUCCUGGCUAACACGGUGAAACCCC